UUUCAGAAGGGACGGACCGCCACCAAGCAGCUGGGACGGAGGAGGUGAACUAUGAUGACAGACUUGGAGAUGAAUAUGGAGCCCAGUAUACUAAUAGUGUUUCAUCAUGAAGCUUCACUAGGAACUAAACUUGAAUAUCCCCCAAAAGUCAAGAAACGAAGAAAAUCCAUUGGGCUCAUUUGCACCCCAGAAUCCAGUCUAAGUAUCUAGGACAGAUUUUUAAAAACAGUGCUUAAAACAAGC
rnacentral:lncRNA from 1 species